GACGAACGCUGGCGGCGUGCUUAACACAUGCAAGUCGAACGGAAAGGCCCUGCUUUUGUGGGGUGCUCGAGUGGCGAACGGGUGAGUAACACGUGAGUAACCUGCCCUUGACUUUGGGAUAACUUCAGGAAACUGGGGCUAAUACCGGAUAGGAGCUCCUGCUGCAUGGUGGGGGUUGGAAAGUUUCGGCGGUUGGGGAUGGACUCGCGGCUUAUCAGCUUGUUGGUGGGGUAGUGGCUUACCAAGGCUUUGACGGGUAGCCGGCCUGAGAGGGUGACCGGCCACAUUGGGACUGAGAUACGGCCCAGACUCCUACGGGAGGCAGCAGUGGGGAAUAUUGCACAAUGGGCGGAAGCCUGAUGCAGCAACGCCGCGUGCGGGAUGACGGCCUUCGGGUUGUAAACCGCUUUCGCCUGUGACGAAGCGUGAGUGACGGUAAUGGGUAAAGAAGCACCGGCUAACUACGUGCCAGCAGCCGCGGUGAUACGUAGGGUGCGAGCGUUGUCCGGAUUUAUUGGGCGUAAAGGGCUCGUAGGUGGUUGAUCGCGUCGGAAGUGUAAUCUUGGGGCUUAACCCUGAGCGUGCUUUCGAUACGGGUUGACUUGAGGAAGGUAGGGGAGAAUGGAAUUCCUGGUGGAGCGGUGGAAUGCGCAGAUAUCAGGAGGAACACCAGUGGCGAAGGCGGUUCCCUGGGCCUUUCCUGACGCUGAGGAGCGAAAGCGUGGGGAGCGAACAGGCUUAGAUACCCUGGUAGUCCACGCUGUAAACGGUGGGUACUAGGUGUGGGGUCCAUUCCACGGGUUCCGUGCCGUAGCUAACGCUUUAAGUACCCCGCCUGGGGAGUACGGCCGCAAGGCUAAAACUCAAAGGAAUUGACGGGGCCCCGCACAAGCGGCGGAGCAUGCGGAUUAAUUCGAUGCAACGCGUAGAACCUUACCUGGGUUUGACAUGGAUCGGGAGCGCUCAGAGAUGGGUGUGCCUCUUUUGGGGUCGGUUCACAGGUGGUGCAUGGCUGUCGUCAGCUCGUGUCGUGAGAUGUUGGGUUAAGUCCCGCAACGAGCGCAACCCUUGUUCACUGUUGCCAGCACGUUAUGGUGGGGACUCAGUGGAGACCGCCGGGGUCAACUCGGAGGAAGGUGGGGAUGACGUCAAGUCAUCAUGCCCCUUAUGUCCAGGGCUUCACGCAUGCUACAAUGGCUGGUACAGAGAGUGGCGAGCCUGUGAGGGUGAGCGAAUCUCGGAAAGCCGGUCUCAGUUCGGAUUGGGGUCUGCAACUCGACCUCAUGAAGUCGGAGUCGCUAGUAAUCGCAGAUCAGCAACGCUGCGGUGAAUACGUUCCCGGGGCU
rnacentral:rRNA from 1 species